GAUGAACGCUGGCGGCGUGCCUAAUACAUGCAAGUCGAGCGAACAGACGAGGAGCUUGCUCCUCUGACGUUAGCGGCGGACGGGUGAGUAACACGUGGAUAACCUACCUAUAAGACUGGGAUAACUUCGGGAAACCGGAGCUAAUACCGGAUAAUAUAUUGAACCGCAUGGUUCAAUAGUGAAAGACGGUUUUGCUGUCACUUAUAGAUGGAUCCGCGCCGCAUUAGCUAGUUGGUAAGGUAACGGCUUACCAAGGCAACGAGGCGUAGCCGACCUGAGAGGGUGAUCGCCCACACUGGAACUGAGACACGGUCCAGACUCCUACGGGAGGCAGCAGUAGGGAAUCUUCCGCAAUGGGCGAAAGCCUGACGGAGCAACGCCGCGUGAGUGAUGAAGGUCUUCGGAUCGUAAAACUCUGUUAUUAGGGAAGAACAAAUGUGUAAGUAACUAUGCACGUCUUGACGGUACCUAAUCAGAAAGCCACGGCUAACUACGUG
rnacentral:rRNA from 1 species